rnacentral:rRNA from 1 species
CAUGAAGUCGGAAUUGCUGUAAUCGCGGAUCAGCAUGCCGCGGUGAAUACGUUCCCGGGCCUUGUACACACCGCCCGUCACACCAUGGGAGCCGGUAAUACCCGAAGUCAGUAGUCCAACCUCGUGAGGACGCUGCCGAAGGUAGGAUUGGCGACUGGGGUGAAGUCGUAACAAGGUAAC